AUACGGAGGGUGCAAGCGUUAAUCGGAAUUACUGGGCGUAAAGCGCUCGUAGGCGGUUUGUUAAGUCGGAUGUGAAAGCCCCGGGCUCAACCUGGGAACUGCAUUCGAAACUGCGUAGCUAGAGUCUGAUAGAGGGAAGUGGAAUUUCCGGUGUAGCGGUGAAAUGCGUAGAUAUCGGAAGGAACAUCAGUGGCGAAGGCGACUUCCUGGAUCAAGACUGACGCUCAGGUGCGAAAGCGUGGGGAGCAAACAGGAUUAGAAACCCCGGUAGUCC
rnacentral:rRNA from 1 species